rnacentral:rRNA from 1 species
UACAGAGGGUGCGAGCGUUGUCCGGAAUCACUGGGCGUAAAGGGCGCGUAGGCGGCUUGAUAAGGUUGCGGUGAAAGCCCGGGGCUCAACCCCGGGUCGGCCGUGGCAACUGUCGAGCUGGAGCACUGUAGAGGCAGGUGGAAUUCCGGGUGUAGCGGUGGAAUGUGUAGAGAUCCGGAAGAACACCGGUGGCGAAGGCGGCCUGCUGGGCAGUGGCUGACGCUGAGGCGCGACAGCGUGGGGAGCAAACAGG